CUUUUGAGUCUGUCAGACAACCGUGCGACCAUCCCAGUCGAGCCAAAGCUCGGCUGAGAACGAUCCUCUACAGCCCUGACCCAACAAAGCAGGUUAAGCAGUUAAUCACGCUCUGAUCGCACGGUCAUUGUUCAUCCACCAGACUGAGGUUCCUGUCUCCUUAGAACUCAAGGAUACAGAGGUACGAGCCUAUAGAACAGAUCCUGUUCAAGUAAGGUCGUGGCAUGUGAAUCUCCUAUCCUUUGUUAUAUAGUCAUUAAAUGUUUCCUGCAUUUCCGAUGUGGGACGGCUAGUCACCGCGUGUUCUCAUUGGCCAUAUAUUUGCAAUGAACUUCUUGGUAACAACGAUUGACAGCUGAUGCACGACAGAUUGCCAAAUGAAAUUCUUGCAAACUUCUGGAUUCAUUUAAAAUAAUUUUAACGGCCGAUGUAUGAUAUUUUAAUUUGCAAAAUUAUUUUGAUAAACAUUUUUUUAUUUAUAUCGUUAAAGAAGAUAAUAGUUGUACGUGUAAAGUAACGGAUCUGUCACUUGAAUCCUAUUUUUAAGAUUCUGCGAUUAAAUUUUUUUGAGAAAAUCAUGUUUAUCUCAUAGUAAAAGUUUUUUAAAAAUUAAGGUAAAUGAUUUUUUUCUAUUCCUAUGAAAGUACUUUUAAUUCGUAAAAUAUUUUUUAAUAAUAUUUUUAUUAUAAAUACUUUUCUAAAAAAUAAUUAUUUUUAACAAAACUAAAAAUAAGAUGACAUGAAUUACAAUUUAACAAACUAAAAAUAAGAUUUACAUUACCUUGUAAGAUUGUGAUAAAGAUAACUAUACGAUGGUUUACAAUGUUGCUUUACUUGACCCGGUUGGGUAAAGUCGGAGUCGGUGGGAUGGCCUUAAGUGAGUCGGGUUGGAAAAAGCCUGAGUGAUGGGGUGGGCCUUAAGGUCCAUUUAGAGGCCCAAAAAAUUCCAAAAUGAUUGGGUUUGUCUGUCAGACAACCGUGCGACCAUCCCAAACGAGCCUAGAGCUCGGUUGAGAACGAUCCUCUACAGCACUAACCAACCGAGGCCGGUCAAGCUAUUAAUCUCGCUCUGAUCGCACGGCCAUGAUUCAUCCACCAGACUGAGGUUCCUGUCUCCUUAGAACUCAAGGAUACAGAGGUACGAGCCUAUAGAACAGAUCCUGUUCAAGUAAGGUCGUG
rnacentral:lncRNA from 1 species